rnacentral:rRNA from 1 species
GACGAACGCUGGCGGCGUGCUUAACACAUGCAAGUCGAACGGAAAGGCCCUGCUUUUGUGGGGUGCUCGAGUGGCGAACGGGUGAGUAACACGUGAGUAACCUGCCCUUGACUUGGGGAUAACUUCAGGAAACUGGGGCUAAUACCGGAUAGGAGCUCCUGCUGCAUGGUGGGGGUUGGAAAGUUUCGGCGGUUGGGGAUGGACUCGCGGCUUAUCAGCUUGUUGGUGGGGUAGUUGCUUACCAAGGCUUUGACGGGUAGCCGGCCUGAGAGGGUGACCGGCCACAUUGGGACUGAGAUACGGCCCAGACUCCUACGGGAGGCAGCAGUGGGGAAUAUUGCACAAUGGGCGGAAGCCUGAUGCAGCAACGCCGCGUGCGGGAUGACGGCCUUCGGGUUGUAAACCGCUUUCGCCUGUGACGAAGCGUGAGUGACGGUAAUGGGUAAAGAAGCACCGGCUAACUACGUG